GGAAUGUACCUUUUGGUUCGGAAUAGCCCCGGGAAACUGGGUGUAAUACCGGAUAAGCCCUUAGGGGGAAAGAUUUAUCGCCAAUAGAUCAGCCCGCGUUAGAUUAGCUAGUUGGUGAGGUAAAAGCUCACCAAGGCGACGAUCUAUAGCUGGUCUGAGAGGAUGAUCAGCCACACUGGGACUGAGACACGGCCCAGACUCCUACGGGAGGCAGCAGUGAGGAAUCUUGGACAAUGGGCGAAAGCCUGAUCCAGCCAUGCCGCGUGAAUGAUGAAGGCCUUAGGGUUGUAAAAUUCUUUCAGCAGGGAAGAUAAUGACGGUACCUGCAAAAGAAGCCCCGGCUAACUCCGUGCCAGCAGCCGCGGUAAUACGGAGGGGGCUAGCGUUGUUCGGAAUUACUGGGCGUAAAGCGCUCGUAGGCGGAUUGAUAAGUCAGAGGUGAAAUCCCAGGGCUCAACCUUGGAACUGCCUUUGAAACUGUUAGUCUAGAGUUCGGGAGAGGUGAGCGGAAUUUCCGAGUGUAGAGGUGAAAUUCGUAGAUAUUCGGAGG
rnacentral:rRNA from 1 species